GGCUAUUAUGCGUUAGCCGAUUUACUUUCAUUUUCAUAUUUGCAACUACCAAAAAAAUGGAGACCGGACUACGAGAGAGGGCAGAAUUGUUUUUGCUGACUGAAGACAGUUUUAGGAUGAAUGCCUACAAUAUCAUCUGUGAAAUGGACAAACUACACGUAACUAAGGAAUAUGUGGAUGAGGACAGUGUCACUCACACACCUAUUCACUUGGGCCUUCUCCCUGGGGCCUUUCUGACCUCCAGGCAGGCCCCCAUUGACCUGGUGACCUCUGACUCCUGACCUCUAGGCCUACACUCCCUGCCCGCCUGCCUGCCCUGGGCCUGAGAGUGUAUAGCUUACUCCCUGGAACUACAGACCUCCAUACCUACUCUCCCUACCCGGUCAACACCCCCUCUUGGUCUUAGAGUAUAGCUUACUCCCUGGAAUUACUAAGACAUCUAUAGUCCCGCUGUCAGGAACCACGUGCACCUGGUAACCCGUAACAGGCUCUGUGCAUCUGGUAACCCGUAACAGGCUCUGUGUACCUGGUAACCCAUAACAGGCUCUGUGGUUCUGGUGACCUGCCCGCUUUUUUCUGCUCACAGACUAAGUCCCCACUCCAACCUCCAUGGCCUGAGUGCUGCCCCCAGCCCCUGAUUAACGUCCGGUGGUAUCAUCAGAGGCUUUUCUGUCUUACAAACUGGACAUCAGUUGCCGCUACAAACCUUCAGCUGACUUUGACUGUUGUUUUUACACCCAAUCGACAUCAAGUACCAGCGCAAUACUUAUAAGCUUGAGGACCAAAUACCCCUCGCUGUAUCUAGCGGCACCAUCAACCGGGUGUCAGAAGAAGCAACAGAAAAUAAUCCUCCCCUUUCAAUCAUUUGCUUUCCCAGUCAGCCCAGAACCAUAGGAACCACCUUUACCAGCGCUUCAUCGAUAUUCCUCACUUUGACAUGAGGGGGUCACAGUCACCCAACGGGUGAUUUGAGUGUUACUGUGACAGGUCGGAACGCUCCUUUGAAUUUGAAUUUCAAGUUGACAUUCAUUGAUCCAUGCCCAGUGGGAACCUAGGCUUCUUCCGUCAAUUUUAUGGAUCCGCAGCAAAUCGAUGAGUGUGGAUGGUACUACCCACAUCAGAUGUAGGCCCCCUCCCCAGACAAGCUGGAGAUACCUCUCCCCACUUCGUAGGGCAUGAGCCAGAUCCAUGCAAUGCCCUAUCACUGCGGGCCAAUGGGUUUAGUCUCCGCCUCAAGUGUAGUGAGCGUAGAGGAGACCUCCCCACCUACGGUGCUCGUUGGUGUGGGGGCGGCGAGCACCGUAGCUGGGGAGAUCCGCGAGAAGGGCCUGGCGCGCGUCCAGAGUUGCCGCCACCAACUUCCGGACCCAACUCCCCACCGGUCCGCCUUCAGCCCACCGACGGACACCACCCUGACGAACCCCCGUACACAGCCCCUUGCGAGACCACACACGAGAGACCACGAGAUGGGCCGCACAACGAACUUCCAAUGGUGUCGAGAGGAGGGCGACGGAGCGACUGCUCCCCUUGACGCAGCUUGAGCUAAGCCCCACUUCGCACCCCAGCCCGACCGACCCAGCCCUUAGAGCUCUCUUCUACCCCUAAGCCAUAAGACUACUGAACAUCUAAUCAAAUGACUACCCAGACCUUUCACUGUAAGGUCUACACCUGGUGUAUUUGGCGCAUGUGACAAAUGCAAUUUGAUUUGAUUUGAUUAAACUUGCCAGUCUAUGUCAUGGAAAGAGCAGGUGUACAUUAUAUUUUGUACACUCCGUGUCUAUGUUAACAUAUUUUCUGCUGUCUGCUCCCCAUAGGCAGGGUCUAUAAUAGACUCUCCCUGCUCAUGUACAGGUAAUAAAGUAGCUAAAUACAUGAAUGAAUAAAUAUAUACAGUUGUGUGAAAUGCAGUGGAUGAUUUUAAUGCAACAGUGAAGACUUCAAACGGGAGAACAACGAUUAAUUAUUUUAGUUAAUUCAGGCUGAUUCUCACAGAGCUGCUAGGGUGCACCUCAAUAGUCUACAGUAGCUUCAUGCUUUCUCUCCUCAUCACCUUUCCCAGCUUUGCUGUUGAACCCCUAACUUUAUUGGAUAACAUUUUAGUUUAAAUCUACUUGUAAAUAUGCAUUUAAAAAACAACAACCUAAAAUGACCUCUCAGCACCAAUCUUUUCUGUGCUUGCUUGCCAUUGGUGCCUGUCCCCUGUUGUGUAACAUACGUUUCUGGCUGUGAACAGUCUGAGUAUUUGGCACAUGCUGGUGGAAGGUGGAGA
ensembl:lncRNA